UACAGAGGUCCCAAGCGUUGUUCGGAUUCAUUGGGCGUAAAGGGUGCGUAGGUGGCGUCGUAAGUCGGGUGUGAAAUCUCGGAGCUUAACUCCGAAACUGCAUUCGAUACUGCCGUGCUUGAGGACUGGAGAGGAGACUGGAAUUUACGGUGUAGCGGUGAAAUGCGUAGAUAUCGUAAGGAAGACCAGUGGCGAAGGCGGGUCUCUGGACAGUUCCUGACGCUGAGGCACGAAGGCCAGGGGAGCAAACGGG
rnacentral:rRNA from 1 species